CAAACUGUUGUCGAUGAUGCAUGAAUUUAUAGACUGAAUGCAAAGUGAUGCACGAUUUAUUCGUCACUACCACUGAGACAACAGAACA